AUGUUAGAGUUAGAGCUCUCUAGUAGUAAGUUACUACUAAAUAGUUGUAAAUAUCCAAGCAGCAAUAAAAGAAGUAUAACUAUGGCUCUCUGUAACAGAUGGGAGGAUACAGUGGAAAUGACUUCAGGGCUGCUGGCUAUAGAUCUGAGCAAUGAAGUUUUGAUGGUUUGAAUCUUUUGUGUUUGGUAAAUGAAAAGGGAGCUUUAUAUUGUGGUUUAA
rnacentral:lncRNA from 1 species